AGUAUUUAUAAACAAGUUACAUGUUUGGGAAAGAGGUAUUAAACGAGCAUUUUAUUUUAAAUUGGAUCAACUUAACCACAAAAUACGCGCAUUGGAGUUAACAUCAAGUACAUAAUUAUGAAACCAACAUUUUCAGAAAUUGUGAGGAAUUUAUAUACAGGUAUUAUUUGCUAAUUGGAAGAUGAAUUUAUUUGCUGGUUAAUUGAAAGUUUUUCGACAACUGACUUAAACGUCGACCGACCUUCUACAAAUGAUCGGGAUUGAACGCCUUGAACGUGAUUGAAAACACCGUUGAGGCAAGAUGCUAGAGACACAACAUUAGAAUGUUACUACCUUCGGUAUCGUGGUUGUCUCCCUUUCCUGCUGCAACGAAAAAGUUCUACAGGUCAAGGACAAGCAGGUAUUGAUCGCAGUUACAAAUGCCAUUUGUAACGGGGACAGUUACAAAUGUCUUUUGUUCCGGGGAGGGGGGUAUUGUAUUGCCAUUUAACUAUUCAGCUAGCGAGUAAGUAACGUAUUUACAUUAUUUCAACCAAAAAGCUGGGUGUCUUCUAAGUUUGAUUGAGUUCAGACUUUUGCAUUUAAAAUCUUUGAUAACAAACUGAAGUGUGUCUACAUUAAUAAGUAGUUGAUAUCUAGGCUAUUUCCAUGCAGUACUAAGUUCAGUGUUUUAAAGCGUGCAUUCAUCACUGCUGUACUAUAGAGUUCCAACAAAUAAGCUUAGUUUACUCAAGUUGCAGAAACGGAUAGAAAAGGUAAUAUGUGAAAGCCGAAUACUUACAUUCCUUUUAAUGAUUGACAGAUGGGUAGGUAUGCUUAUGACACAACAUCGGGCUGUGACAAUCGAAGGAUCUCUGAAGCUGGUGUCUUAGAAUUUGAUCUUCAUUUUAUUUUUUAUAAUUAGAUUUCAAACAACAUGUCAUUUUCAUAUUUAAUUUACAUUUACACGAUUCUUUGUUAUUGUUAUUGUGGCAGGCAAAUGUUUUCUUCCAGAUAGGUUGAUAUGUUCAACCGUCCAUUACUGAAUCUCUGAACUUUAGAUCACACGAGGCAUUUUCUGAUGGAUACACUCAAUUCCUGAUCUUACUGUCACAAGAGGCUGUUCCAAUGUAUAUGUCGUUUGCAGUUGAAACUUACAGUGGAGUUGCAUGACAGUUAUGCUACUGUUAAACUGAUGAGCUACAAUUUGAGUUAAGCAGGCGAAGACGAGCAGAUGUACGAGGCAGAGGUCAUACACAGGAGGUCCUGACAGGAUGUGUUUGAAGGGAAAUUAUGGCGAUAAACUAAAGACAACCCGUCUGAAACCGACAAGCUAAGAAGCAGUGUAAUCGGCAUCACUGCCGAUGUUAAGAGAAUCAUCUCCAGUUUAAGAUGUUGAUUCAAAUUGAUACGAGCAGACAGCACCGAAACCCUGAAAUCUGAAGGUAACUUUGGGAGCAUCCUUGCAACAUGUGAUCCUGGUGUGUCCAACUUGAGCAUGAAGCAAAGGUAGAUAUCGUUUGAGGAUAAAACUUACAGACUUCUUUGCAUAAUAUUACAAAAUUGGGAUAAAUAUGAAUACUAUUUAGCUGGUAAAUUGAAUCAUGAAUUACCAAGGGACGGUACAAUAAAGGCAUUGGUUAUAUACGUGAAAUAUAUUUAUAUUUGUAUUGAUAACUAAGUUAGUUUAAGGGAAAACUCUAGGGAUUUGCAUGUUUGUAUUGUUCAUAAAAGCUACUUUUAGACAUAAUGAAAAUGAUGUGUUAUUGACUGACAAAGGACAAUUUGACUUAAAGACAGGAACUAGAAGGAGGCAAUCAUUUGAUUUUUAUUGAAAGGCAAUUAGUAUGUCGUUGAUAACCCUCAAGUAUCGCCUUCGGCACGGCUUCUUACGCUUUAACCCAGUUAUUAUCUACAAUUACCGUCCAACCCUAAAUCUCUAAAAUUUAGAUCAAACGAGGCAUUUUCUAGUAGGGUAAGGUUAUCCGUUGUCCUGACUGCAAUAAUCAGAAAGACAUGUGCCCAAUAGAGGUAAGCUUAUUAUCUGUAAUAAAAUGGUUGUAUCCGAUCGAUAUAAAGCUGUUGAACCAGAACUUCUCAAAACUUGAUUUAUGUUUAGCUUAAUGUACUAUUUUGGAGAAAAUCAUCUCUGAUUGAAGAUAUUGCUUAAUAACUUAGUUCGUAAAUCAUAUUUGAAAUGUUCCCAAUGGCGUUGCUUUUAUUGACUAACAGACAGGUAAUUACAGCAUUAUACGAACACACAACAUUGGAAUACGAUAAGCUGAAGAUCAGCGAACUCGGCAUCACUGCUCAUGUAGAACAUUAUUUCAAGCUCUGGGUAAUCGUUGAGUAGAAAAAGGCAUUUAUCGCGGAAUUGUCGUAGCACAACCAGCUAAUACACAUUUGUAGACCUAUGACAUAAUUGACCGUGUCACUGCAUUGCCUGAACGUUUGUUUUCAGAUCGAUAAUACUUUCUUCCCACCAAUAAUGGCAAUGUAUGGGGUGUCUUGUCCUUAAUAGAUUCAAAAUUAUACGCAGCUUCCUGUUUAAUUAAGUAUAUUUAAUACUUUAAUAGUUCUGCUUUACUUUGUUAACAUUCAUGUUGGGGAAAUUAGUAUUUCUUUUGAUUACAUUUUCAGUAAAACUUGUCCAUUUAAGAUGGAUACGAGCAGAACAACCUGAAUUCCUGACCAGAAUGUCACAAGGUGCGCUUUCUGGCAGCAUGUGGUCCUAGGUUGUCCGGCAUGAGCCUGUUCCAAUGUAUAUGUCGUUUGCGGUUAACACUUACAGUGAAAAUUGUCAAUUCUACUGAAGUUACUAUCGAUACCGUUCUGAUGAUUAAGAAGGUUCAUCUUAAUCUUGCAAGCUACAGAGGUUUUGGAAAAAAAAUCUAACUUUUUUAGCCAAACAAAAAUUAGUCUGUAACCAAGGAGCAGUUAUAUCCCGAUUUUAAAUAUUGUAAAAUAGUUGAUUUUAUCAGAUUGUUUUCAAAGAAAAUAUACUUUAAUGAUAUUUGUAGCUAACAGAUAAUAUUUGCCGACUCAAAUUACAGUGACAAGUGAUCUUCUGUGGACACUGUCCGAGCAAAUGUUUCCAUUAUCUAACAAACAUGAUACUAAGUCAUUAAUUUUCUACUACAAAGAAUGUAAAUCCCUUGCCUGCAUAUAAAGUGGAAGAAACACUAAAUAUUGCCUUUGGUGAUGAAUGUCGAAUGAAAAAAAUGUGAGAUCAAUUUCUUCGUUCUCUUGAGUAAACUUUACAAUAUUACUCUCAUUUAAUUGCUUAAUUUAACAUUGCAAAAGCUUUUGAAAAUAAAUGCGAAAAAUCAUAUAUAAACUAUCAUUUGUGUCGCGUUUUUAUUUUAGCCUCUUGCUCAUAAUGUUGAAAGCAGUGUUGGACUGCUUGUACUGCUUUGGGGAGAAUACUUUUUUAUUGACGGCCACGGUAACUAACUGAAUUCAUGAAACAUUUUUGCAGUUUUUUCAAGUGACAGAGACGGAGUGGUAAGCCGACAAAAAGUAUAUCGUAAUGCGACAAGCCUGGUAUCUGCUUUGGUUACAUGACAGUUGUUUUCCUUGGGCUGCUGUUAAACUAGCUACAGUUUGUGGAAAAGCAAAUACGAGCAGACUUACCACGCAGAGAUCAGCUCUUCCUGACAGGAUGUGUUCCAAUGUUAUCCGGUAUUGGCAGGAAUAAAAGAUUGGCUGAUACGAGCAGACUUCGCAAAGUUAAUCCCUGAUCUGGAGGUCCCGAAACCAAGAGACGUUUGGACAAUAGUAUAUCUUCAUAAAGGUGCCUUUGGAACGUAUUUGUCAUCUGCAGUUGGGAAAAAAAUGGUUCGGUGCUGAAGACACACCAUCGGGGUGUGACAAUCCCAGAUAAUGUCAGUCCGGAGUCACAAUUGUCUUUGCGGAUAGAAACAGUACGCUUUGCAAUUUGAGAACAAGAAGGCUUCAGAUCCAGAACUGGAAACGAGCAGAUGUAUGUGUCCGGACCCAUGCACGCUAUUCAAGAAAAAUUAUUUCUGAUCGAAGUUAGUGCGAUUGGUUUCUUUUGGAUAGAUCAAUAUGAGGAGACGUCCCACGCUAAAUACCUGAUUUAGAGGUUACAUGACGCACUUCCAGAAAUGCCAAUACGUGCGAAUGAUCCACACUGAAACACUGAUCUCGAUGUUACAAAAGGCUUUUGUUGGAAGGAUUUUAUCUUGAUAUGUCCAGCGAUUACUUCAAUCACACUAAUCUACUUUGGUCACAGGACUGCUUCAAACACUGCAUCUGUAACAUUACAGAUUUGACAAUUACAAUAUUUCUGUAAAUAUUUUACCAUGAUCACAAAUGUGUUCUUGUUAUUGACUGAUUUUCGGCGGUAUGAUGAAGAUAUUACAUGAAAAUAUGACAGGACUUUGAUAUGCCAGUUGUCUUCCUUUUAAUAAUAAAAAGGGAAGGAUAAGCAGGUAGCUUAAAUCUCUAGAGUUUCUAAAAAUUGAUGUGACAAGGCAACUCCGAAUUAAACAUACUACACUAAUCAUUUGUCACGAGGUUUCUAUGUCGUGGAAGUUAUCCAUCUGAACUACUCCUAAUCUCGCAUACAAUAGUUUAAUUAUAAAUAGUGAUACUCCUACUAACCAAUUACACACCAUAGUCUGGUAUUUGUAACCUUAAACGAAAUUGGAGAGGAACUCCAUUAUCUUCUUUGAUUCACAAUCGAACGGAGAAUAGUAUUCCUCUAUGUUAACAGAACUAUUGUAAAUAUGUUUUGAUUUAAAGGUAUAAUGAACGAAAACAGGUUACUUGUUUUAAUAAGUGAUGUGUAUUUAGAGCACUUACAUCCUGUUUGAACAUCGUUAUUGGUCAUGUUUAACAUAUGUAAUCUGCAUAAAACGUAUUAACCUCUUUUCAUAUAUUGUAUGUGUUGAGCGUAAAAAGAAAUUGCAUACAGUGAUAAUCACUUUCUUUUGUUCGGACAUAUGUCAUUUAGGUUUACUCUUGAGCUAAUAUGCACUAUCCAAA